rnacentral:rRNA from 1 species
CGAACGCUGGCGGCGUGCUAACACAUGCAAGUCGAAACGCGAAAGGGGACUUCGGUCCUGAGUAAAAGUGGCGCACGGGUGAGUAACGCGUAGAUAACCUGUCUUCAUGUCUGGAAUAAUACGCCGAAAGGGGUACUAAUACCGGAUAUUCUUGCUUUUCAUAAGUUAUGCAAGCAAAGGUGGCCUCUGCAUAUGCUACUGCAUGAAGAGGGGUCUGCGUACCAUUAGCUAGUAGGUGGGGUAAUGGCCUACCUAGGCGACGAUGGUUAGCGGGUCUGAGAGGAUGAUCCGCCACACUGGCACUGGAACACGGGCCAGACUCCUACGGGAGGCAGCAGUGAGGAAUAUUGCGCAAUGGGGGAAACCCUGACGCAGCGACGCCGCGUGAGUGAGGAAGGCCUUCGGGUCGUAAAGCUCUGUCAAGAGGAAAGAAGUGUACAAUGGCUAAUACCUGUUGUAUUUGACGGUACCUCUAAAGGAAGCACCGGCUAACUCCGUGCCAGCCGCCGC